rnacentral:rRNA from 1 species
ACGAACGCUGGCGGCGUGCUUAACACAUGCAAGUCGCACGGAAAGGCCUCUUUCGGGGGGUACUCGAGUGGCGAACGGGUGAGUAACACGUGAGUAACCUGCCCUUGACUUUGGGAUAACUUCAGGAAACUGGGGCUAAUACCGGAUAGGAGCUCCUGCUGCAUGGUGGGGGUUGGAAAGUUUCGGCGGUUGGGGAUGGACUCGCGGCUUAUCAGCUUGUUGGUGGGGUAGUGGCUUACCAAGGCUUUGACGGGUAGCCGGCCUGAGAGGGUGACCGGCCACAUUGGGACUGAGAUACGGCCCAGACUCCUACGGGAGGCAGCAGUGGGGAAUAUUGCACAAUGGGUGGAAGCCUGAUGCAGCAACGCCGUGUGAGGGAGGACGGCCUUCGGGUUGUAAACCGCUUUCGCUCAUGACGAAGCUUUGUGUGACGGUAGUGGGUAAAGAAGCACCGGCUAACUACGUG